rnacentral:lncRNA from 1 species
UGAUGCUAUUCACAGAGGUGGUGGCCAGGUCAUUCCCACGGCCAGGAGGGUCAUCUAUGCUUCUCAGCUCACAGCAAAGCCCAGGCUUCUUGAGCCCGUCUACCUGGUGGAGAUCCAGGCCCCUGAGAAUGCCCUUGGUGGUAUCUAUGGUGUUCUGAACCAGAAGAGAGGACAUGUGUUCGAGGAGAUGCAGAGGCCUGGUACCCCUCUGUACAACAUCAAGGCUUACCUCCCUGUCAUCGAGUCCUUUGGGUUCUCAAGCCAGCUUAGGGCUGCGACAUCUGGCCAGGCCUUCCCCCAGUGUGUGUUCGACCAUUGGGACAUGAUGACCUCUGAUCCUCUUGAAGCUGGCUCGCAGGCUUCAACCCUGGUGCAGGAUAUCCGCAAGAGGAAGGGUCUCAAGGAGCAGAUGACUCCCCUCUCCGAUUUCGAGGACAAGCUCUAAAUUUUUGGCCGCCGCAUGUGUUGUGCCGUUACCCUUACAUGUUCUAGUUGGUCU